rnacentral:rRNA from 1 species
CCUACGGGGGGCAGCAGUGGGGGAUAUUGCACAAUGGGCGCAAGCCUGAUGCAGCGACGCCGCGUGAGCGAAGAAGUAUUUCGGUAUGUAAAGCUCUAUCAGCAGGGAAGAAAAUGACGGUACCUGACUAAGAAGCUCCGGCUAAAUACGUGCCAGCAGCCGCGGUAAUACGUAGGGGGCAAGCGUUAUCCGGAUUUACUGGGUGUAAAGGGAGCGUAGACGGCAGUGCAAGUCUGAAGUGAAAGGCAAGGGCUCAACCCUUGGACUGCUUUGGAAACUGUGCUGCUGGAGUGUCGGAGAGGCAA